AAUGAACGCUGGCGGCAUGCCUAACACAUGCAAGUCGACCGAAGGCCUCGGCCUUAGUGGCGCACGGGUGCGUAACGCGUGGGAAUCUCCCCUCGGGUUCGGAAUAACAGUUAGAAAUGACUGCUAGUACCGGCUGAUGUCGUAAGACCAAAGAUUUAUCGCCCAAGGAUGAGCCCGCGUAGGAUUAGCUAGUUGGUGGGAUAAAGGCCCACCAAGGCGACGAUCCUUAGCUGGUCUGAGAGGAUGAUCAGCCACACUGGGACUGAGACACGGGCCAGGCUCCUACGGGAGGCAGCGGUGGGGAAUAGUGGAAAAGGGGCGAAAGCCUGAUCCGGCAAUGCGGCGUGAGUGAUGAAGGCCUUAGGGUUGUAAAGGUCUUUUGCCCGGGAUGAUAAUGACAGUACCGGGAGAAUAAGCUCCGGCUAACUUCGUGCCAGCAGCCGCAGUAAAAC
rnacentral:rRNA from 1 species